AGAGUUUGAUCAUGGCUCAGGAUGAACGCUGGCGGCGUGCCUAAUACAUGCAAGUCGAGCGGAGAAUUUAGCAAUAGAUUCUUAGCGGCGAACGGGUGAGUAACGCGUUGGUGACCUGCCUCGAAGUUUGGGAUAACAGUUCGAAAGGACUGCUAAUACCGGAUGUGAUCGCGGAGAUUAGAGGCUCUGUGAUUAAAGGAGAAAUUCGCUUCGAGAGGGGCCUGCGUCCCACCAGCUAGUUGGUAAGGUAAAGGCUUACCAAGGCGAUGACGGGUAGGGGACCUGAGAGGGUGGCCCCCCACAAUGGAACUGAAACACGGUCCAUACACCUACGGGUGGCAGCAGUAGGGAAUAUUGCAUAAUGGGCGAAAGCCUGAUGCAGCAACGCCGCGUGUGCGAUGAAGGCCUUCGGGUCGUAAAGCACUUUUGGAGGGGAUGAGGAAGGACAGUACCCUUCGAAUAAGCUUCGGCUAACUACGUG
rnacentral:rRNA from 1 species